rnacentral:rRNA from 1 species
UACAGAGGGUGCGAGCGUUGUUCGGAAUUAUUGGGCGUAAAGGGCGCGUAGGCGGUGCCACAAGUCACUUGUGAAAUCUCCGGGCUUAACUCGGAGCCUGCAGGCGAAACUGUGGUGCUGGAGUAUGGGAGAGGUGCGUGGAAUUCCCGGUCGUAGCGGUGGAAAUGCGUAGAUAUCGGGAGGAACACCUGUGGCGAAAAGCGGCUCACUGGACCAUAACUGACGCUGAGGCGCGAAAGCUAGGGGAGCAAACAGG